GCCUGGCACCAUGGGAGCCAUGCUAACCAGCUCUGGAGAAUAUGUCACUACUGCUGUAGACUCGGAGGCAUAUAGACGAGGUAAGAAGGAGCUUCCUCCGUUUGCUCCUCGUGAGCCGUCGCCUGUUAAGGCUCCGUCUGAGCCGAUCCCUGAUGAACUGCUGUGUCCCAUCUGCAAGGAGCUGAUGGCUGACGCUGUGGUCACACCCUGCUGUGGAAACAGCUACUGCGAUGAAUGUAUCAGGAGCAGCUUGUUGGACUCAGAGGAGCACAUCUGCUUCACCUGCCAACAGUCUGACGUGUCACCUGAUGACCUCAGCGCCAACGAGGCUCUUCGCCAGGCUGUGGAACAUUUUAAGAAUGGCACCUGUUACUCUGAAGAUGUGGGCAAGCAGCAGCACCAAGCAGCCCCACCCCCGCCUCGCCCUCAGCUGCUUAAGACUUGGGGCUCCAGGCAGCAGGACCCGCUAGCGGCCAACAUGCCACCUGCCACCAGUGCCCUUCCUACAGCACUGGACCUGCCUGCUCAGCCUGCUACUGCGCCCCCUGUUGACGCACAAGAGAUUGAACCUGAACCCGGACUUGCACCUGCACCAGUAGUUGCACCUGCACCUGCCCUUGAGCACGACUCUCCUAUGCACUCAGCCUGUCAGAGCGAACCACCUCCACCAGGUGUGACAGAGCCAGUGCCCGCUGUGCCACUGGACUCCUCUGCAGCCUCUGACAGUGGACAACAGGUCUCCCAGGACUGCACUGUUACUGUGACUGACCAUGGGCCACCUUCAAGGCCCCCUCAUGCUUCAGGUCACCAGGCUCAGCCCCAGCACACUCACCCAGGCAGAGCUACACGCUGGGACAGACCUGGAGGACAGCAGCCUCCUCCUUACCUCCAGACAGCUGUGCCUCCUGGCCCUGUUGGCCCACCACCCAUCUUGUACCCACCGCCUCCACUGCCCUUCCCUCCUCCCUGCUCUGGCCCCGGCCUUUACCCUCCACCUGCAGUGGGUUACCCGCCUCAGUGGGUUGCCCUCCACCCACCCUGGGUUCCUCCUGGUGCCCAGCUGCCUCCUGGCCCUCUGCCAGCCUCACUCUCCCAGCCCCCGCUGUCCAAGGAAAAUUUCUCCAGGCAGCGGCACCACCAUCAGGACAAGCAUUAUGGGUGUCGUCGCUCUGACCCACCACAGUCUCACUCCAGGUCUUGCCCUCGCUCUCCUGAUCGAUACAGGAGCCGCAGCCCUGUGGGCCAGAAGGCACCUCUUCCAGAGCUGCCCCCCCAUGAACUGGAGCAUCAAAGUGGUGAAAUAAGUCUUAGAGGCCCUGAGCGUUUCGACAGAUGUCGAAAAAGGGAGAGAAAGCAGAGAAACAGGUACAGCAAGCACCACAAAGACCCUGACAGCCACGAUGCAUCACUGCAUCAAGUAAAGAGCAGAGCAGAGGAUGCCCACAACUCUGCUACUGUGAAGAAGGACGAGGGGAAAAGCCCUACUGGGUGGACUGCACUGCUUGAGACUCCUCCACCAUCCGCUUGGAUGCUGCCCCUCACACAUCCUUCUCUCCAUCACGACUCUGAACCCAAACCUGACAUUCAGGGAAUGCAAGAUCUUCCCCCACAAAAUGGACUCCCGCUCGUCCAGCAUCCGCCUUCUUCAGUGGACAAACGUAAGAGAGGAGGUGAUGACCAGAGCUCUACACUGGGGCCCCGUCCUGGCAAGCUGAGGAGAAUCGACAGGACAGGCAGCAUCCCUCUUCAGAGAGUCCGAUUCCCAUCUGAGAGGCCACACCUUCUUCCCGUUCCAGGGAGCAGUGACACGGGCCGGGCAGAUGCAGACGGAGAGCCUGCAAGACCUCUCACUGACCUCCAGGAACACUUUGUGAUGGAUGUAAAGACACGGAUUACUGUCCUGAGCUUGGAGACGAUGAGCAGGAGGCUGCAGAGGUUUUACUUGUCUCUGUGGACUCUGGACUUCAGGUGGGAGAAACACAGUUUCAUGUUGUGCUCGUUCAGACAUCCCACGAGCCGCCGUGGAUCAAACACACCCUUGAACGUGGGAGCUGCAAGGAACAUCAUCAACUCCAUUUGGAGAUUGUUGGAUGUAAUUUUUAAGACUGUUAACUGGGGGGAAGUCCACAGAACAGCUGGGAAAUAAUGAAAUAAUGUAAUUUUUAAAAUGACUGAACUAUCUCUUGAAAAUGAUUGCAGAUUUAGUUUUCCCCCAAAAAGGGAUUCUUCUCAGAUUUCCCACAGGGCUGUUGGUCAUGUUCAGCUGUUUGGCAUCUCAUCGGAGAGAAUCACAUAACGUGUGAUAAGAGCAGCAUCUUCAUAAGACCUCACUUUCAAGUUCAACCUGGAAUCUC